AUUGAACGCUGGCGGCAUGCCUUACACAUGCAAGUCGAACGGCAGCACGGGAGCAAUCCUGGUGGCGAGUGGCGAACGGGUGAGUAAUGUAUCGGAACGUGCCCAGUCGUGGGGGAUAACGUAGCGAAAGCUACGCUAAUACCGCAUACGAUCUGUGAAUGAAAGCGGGGGACCGUAAGGCCUCGCGCGAUUGGAGCGGCCGAUAUCAGAUUAGGUAGUUGGUGAGGUAAAGGCCUACCAAGCCGACGAUCUGUAGCUGGUCUGAGAGGACGACCAGCCACACUGGGACUGAGACACGGCCCAGACUCCUACGGGAGGCAGCAGUGGGGAAUUUUGGACAAUGGGCGCAAGCCUGAUCCAGCAAUGCCGCGUGCAGGAUGAAGGCCUUCGGGUUGUAAACUGCUUUUGUACGGAGCGAAAAGGCUCUCUCUAAUACAGGGGGCUCAUGACGGUACCGUAAGAAUAAGCACCGGCUAACUACGUGCCAGCAGCCGCCGCCG
rnacentral:rRNA from 1 species